GCCCACCUUGGGAACGGGGCGGGACGCCCAGCUGGCGUCACCAGGACAACGGGCGUUGCCGGCGCCGUGUGACUCCGGGCUGCGGGCGCGCUCGCGGCUCUUCGGCCAUGGCACCGCUGCCUUCAAAGUGCUGCUCCUCUGUCUUGGAAUGAGAGCUACGUCAUGCAGCCUCUUGGAGAGCACAGACUUGGUUUCCGGGAGCCCUCUGACUCUCGCAGAGGUUUUCUCAAAUAACGAUGAAGGCCUUAUUAACAAAAAGUUACCCAAAGAACUUCUCUUAAGAAUAUUUUCCUUCUUGGAUAUAGUAACUUUGUGCCGAUGUGCACAGAUUUCCAAGGCCUGGAACAUUUUAGCCCUGGAUGGAAGCAACUGGCAAAGAAUAGACCUUUUUAACUUUCAGACAGAUGUGGAGGGUCGAGUAGUGGAAAAUAUCUCCAAGCGAUGCGGUGGGUUCCUGAGGAAGCUCAGCCUGCGGGGUUGCAUCGGUGUUGGGGACUCCUCCUUGAAGACCUUUGCACAGAACUGCCGCAACAUCGAACAUUUAAACCUCAAUGGUUGCACCAAAAUCACUGACAGCACGUGUUAUAGCCUUAGCAGAUUCUGUUCCAAGCUGAAACAUCUGGAUCUGACUUCCUGUGUGUCUAUUACAAACAGCUCCUUGAAGGGGAUCAGUGAGGGCUGCCGAAACCUGGAAUACCUGAACCUGUCGUGGUGUGAGCAGAUCACGAAGGACGGCAUCGAGGCGCUGGUGCGCGGUUGUCGCGGCCUGAAAGCCCUGCUCCUGAGGGGCUGCACGCAGUUAGAAGACGAAGCCCUGAAGCACAUUCAGAAUUACUGCCACGAGCUCGUGAGCCUCAACCUACAGUCCUGCUCGCGCGUGACGGACGAAGGAGUCGUUCAGAUUUGCCGCGGCUGCCAUCGGCUGCAGGCCCUGUGCCUCUCCGGCUGCAGCCACCUCACGGACGCCUCCCUCACAGCCCUGGCGCUCAACUGCCCGCGACUCCAUCACUACCUUUUCCUCCCGUGCGCUUCGCAUCCCAGGAUUUUGGAGGCUGCUCGGUGUUCCCAUUUGACGGAUGCAGGCUUUACACUUCUAGCUCGGAACUGCCACGAUCUGGAGAAGAUGGAUCUUGAAGAAUGCGUCCUGAUAACCGACAGCACUCUCAUCCAGCUCUCCGUCCACUGUCCCAAGCUGCAAGCCCUGAGUCUGUCCCACUGUGAGCUCAUCACAGAUGAUGGGAUCCUGCACCUGAGCAACAGCACCUGCGGCCACGAGAGGCUGCGGGUCCUAGAACUAGACAACUGUCUCCUCAUCACCGACGUGGCCCUGGAGCACCUGGAGAACUGCCGCGGCCUGGAGCGCCUGGAGCUGUACGACUGCCAGCAGGUCACCCGCGCGGGCAUCAAGCGGAUGCGGGCUCAGCUCCCUCACGUCAAAGUCCACGCCUACUUUGCUCCCGUCACCCCCCCGACAGCAGUGGGAGGAAGCGGACAGCGACUGUGCAGGUGCUGUGUCAUUCUCUGACGGCAGCGGCCAAGCCCAAGGCGCGAGGUGUCCCUUCCUCCAGAGAAGACCCAAGUCUUCCCGACCUGCCCCACCUUCGCCCAGAUCUCUUGGUUCUCCAUUGGGAAAGGCACGUUCAGGUUUCAAAGAGGAGCUCUCGCCACCCCCUACGAGUAUCUUAACCAAACUAAAUACAGCCCAGGGCAGCAAGCAACACGCUCUAGGAAGAUGUGAAAUCCCAGGCCAGUGAACUGCUGACGUUUUGCAUACUUUAGACUUAAGAGUCAUUAAUAAUUUACCAACAAUUCUACCACCUCCAGAUUAGCUCCGGACUAUAAUAGAUUUCCUCAAUUUACGAGUUAUCAGAACGCAUUCCUUUUAAUUAAAUCGUUUCUAACAAGAAAGGAAAAGCGACUUGAGUUACCAGGAUCUCCCCAGAAAAGUUUACUAAGAACGAUUUGUGAGUCUUCUGCUGGGAAAUGCAAAGAAGAUUGAAAAAUAUAAAACUGAAGGGGGCCCAGGGGACCCUGGGGAGGGAGCAUAUAGUUGUCCACACAAGCUUUGAUCCAAAUCAGAAAAGCCCAGUUAAAGAAAACGCGUUAUGUGCGCUCCCUAUCCAGACAUCCGCUUUUCUGUUUUACCGCACAAAGAAGCACUUGAAAUAUUUUCACUCAAUGCUUUAAUCUGGAAAUGAGGGUCCUGUGAUAAGGCCUGUGACUUUCAUAUUCUACAGAGAAUUACAUAUACACGUGUUAAGAGUGAAAACGUCAUGUCUGGCACCUUGAUUUUACAAACACUGCCAUGAUAAAUAGAGCAGCCGUGAAUACAGACGAUGACGGUUACUUUUAAAAAUUACCGAAUGCUCUGUGUUUACAUUUACUGCGGGUAGCCGGUGAUCUAAGUUUAAGUAGCAAGAGAAUGCUUGGUGGACGUCGUCAAAUAAAGACAUGCUGUACUUAAGGUGACAGAGCCAAAACCCUCGACUGCACGUUGGGAGAACCAGGUCUCAGUGGAGCAAGAUGCGCUCGCUGUUCUGGCCCGAAGCACAAAGUCACAAUGCAGGAGCCAAGAGGACACACUGAUGCAAAGACUUUUUUCUACCAGUGCCGCCAAACAGGCUUUUAAAAGCACAGACAGACACACAUUCUUAUACUACAUGCAGGGAAAUGUGACACAAAGUAUUGCCUGUUAAUGUCAAGCUUGCUGCCACCAUUCCUCUAGAUAUCCAUUGCAUUUUCUUAUCAGUUAUAC